CAACAUCGAGGUCGCAAUCUUUUUUAUCGAUAUGAACUCUCCAAAAAAAUUACGCUGUUAUCCCUAAAGUAACUUAAAUUUUUAAUCAUUAUUAAUGGAUCAAUUAUUCAUAAAUUAAUGGUUUUAAAAAUUAAAAGUUUUUUAAAUUUUAAUAUCACCCCAAUAAAAUAUUUUAAUUUAUUAUAAUAAAAAUAAUCUUUAUAAUUAAAAUAAACAAAAUAUAAAGAUUUAUAGGGUCUUCUCGUCUUUUAAAUUUAUUUUAGCUUUUUGACUAAAAAAUAAAAUUCUAUAAAAAAUUUAAAUGAAACAGUUAAUAUUUCGUCCAACCAUUCAUUCCAGCCUUCAAUUAAAAGACUAAUGAUUAUGCUACCUUUGCACAGUUAGAAUACUGCGGCCAUUUAAAAUUUUCAGUGGGCAGGU
rnacentral:rRNA from 1 species